GAUGAACGCUGGCGGCGUGCCUAAUACAUGCAAGUCGAACGCAUAGCGAAAGGUGCUUGCACCUUUCAAGUGGGUGGCGACCGGGUGAGUAACACGUGGACAACCUGCCUCAAGGCUGGGGAUAACAUUUGGAAACAGAUCCUAAUACCGGAUAAAACUUAGUGUCGCAUGACACAAAGUUAAAAGGCGCUUCGGCGUCACCUAUAGAUGGAUCCGCGGUGCAUUAGUUAGUUGGUGGGGUAAAGGCCUACCAAGACAAUGAUGCAUAGCCGAGUUGAGAGACUGAUCGGCCACACUGGGACUGAGACACGGCCCAAACUCCUACGGGAGGCUGCAGUAGGGAAUCUUCCACAAUGGGCGAAAGCCUGAUGGAGCAACGCCGCGUGUGUGAUGAAGGCUUUCGGGUCGUAAAGCACUGUUGUAUGGGAAGAACAGAUAGAAUAGGAAAUGAUUUUAGUUUGACGGUACCAUACCAGAAAGGGACGGCUAAAUACGUG
rnacentral:rRNA from 1 species